rnacentral:lncRNA from 1 species
GAGCUGAGCAGUCAAGAUGUGUGACUUCACCGAAGACCAGACCGCAGAGUUCAAGGAGGCCUUCCAGCUGUUUGACCGAACAGGUGAUGGCAAGAUCCUGUACAGCCAGUGUGGGGAUGUGAUGAGGGCCCUGGGCCAGAACCCUACCAACGCCGAGGUGCUCAAGGUCCUGGGGAACCCCAAGAGUGAUGAGAUGAAUGUGAAGGUGCUGGACUUUGAGCACUUUCUGCCCAUGCUGCAGACAGUGGCCAAGAACAAGGACCAGGGCACCUAUGAGGAUUAUGUCGAAGGACUUCGGGUGUUUGACAAGGAAGGAAAUGGCACCGUCAUGGGUGCUGAAAUCCGGCAUGUUCUUGUCACACUGGAAGAUGACAGAGGAAGAAGUAGAGAUGCUGGUGGCAGGGCAUGAGGACAGCAAUGGUUGUAUCAACUAUGAAGCUCGUCCGCAUGGUGCUGAAUGGCUGAGGACCUUCCCAGUCUCCCCAGAGUCCGUGCCUUUCCCUGUGUGAAUUUUGUAUCUAGCCUAAAGUUUCCCUAGGCUUUCUUGUCUCAGCAACUUUCCCAUCUUGUCUCUCUUGGAUGAUGUUUGCCGUCAGCAUUCACCAAAUAAACUUGCUCUCUGGGCCCUCGGU